rnacentral:misc_RNA from 1 species
UUUCCGUAGGUGAACCUGCGGAAGGAUCAUUAACGAGUUAGGGUCUUCUAGGCCCGACCUCCCAACCCUUUGUUUACUGAACCAUUGUUGCCUCGGUGGGUCCGUCUUACGACCGCCGGGGGAUCGCCGCGAGGCGCCCCCUGGUCAGCGCCCACCGAUAGCCCAACCUUUAAAACCCUUUGUGAAUCGUGUCUUAUGUCUAAAUUUAUGAUUAAACAAUCAAAACAAAACUUUCAACAACGGAUCUCUUGGUUCUG